CCAAACCUUACCCUCAUAUACCAAAGCACUUUGUUCCCCGAGAAUUAAAAACUUAACGGAAUAUAGGUUAUACGUUUUAACCACUGCUGGGGCAUUCCUUGCUAUUAAAUGCUUAUGCUUCUGGUACUCUAUUAUUUUCCCUUGAUGCUUCUUCCUCCUUGGAAAUUCCGCUAUUUUCUAACUUUCCUCUCUAGAUAGUUUUUAGGAACUGUUUGAGCAUUCCACUUGCUUCGGUGUGUCGAUAACUAUUUCCAAGGGGUAUUUUUUUUGAGAUAUGGCCAAUUUGUCCACUCCCUUUGCAAAGGAUACCUUCACCCGCAUAAACAAUCGGCUGCAGUGGUUCCUCGAUUAGCACUUGAAUACAGAUUCGUGCAUAUCUUUGCCUUAUAAUGCAGUAAAGGUACAUGUGUCUAUCUUCGGUACCUUGCCAAUCUUUAUGCGCAUGUUUUUUAGGAUUUUUUUAUCAUAAAAUUUAGUGGGUAAUUGCGGUAGCCUAAUCUCUAUGGUUGUGGAUUGUAUCAUUGUAUUUGCCGGAAUGAAAGUUGGCUCCCAAUUUCAAACAGAGACGAAAUGGCCCAUAACGACAUUUGUGUAGCGCAUUGGUUAAACUUUGCUCCUUAGAAAAUUUCACUAUGAAGAAAUUUCAUCCUAGGUCAAUUAGGAUAAGAUGCUUAGUUGGGUUCCAAAGCUGCUGGAGUAUAGUCUGGAGAUGGUGGGAGAUUUUCCUUCCAAACACCUUGAUGAUAAAUGAGAAUUUUCAUGAUUGGUAUAUUCUAAGUGUUUACUCCCGUGACCGUGGGGUUGGCUCAGUGGUCCUUAUGUUUGAAGCUGUUUCAAGCUCUACUCCUGGUAGUAUUGUGGAUAGUAAACAUUUGACUUUGUCAAGUGUUUCUCUACUAGGAUUUCCUUGAAGGUGUUCUUGAUUGUUGGUUCCACAUACAUCAGUGUAAUGUAAAUGUCCGGUGGUUCCAGGGAUUCCUGUAGUAAUGGGGGUAUUGGGUCCUUUGUUAGGGAUAGGAUAAGGC
rnacentral:lncRNA from 1 species